AUUGAACGCUGGCGGCAGGCCUAACACAUGCAAGUCGAACGAGUGGCGGACGGGUGAGUAAUGUAUGGGAAACUGCCUGAUGGAGGGGGAUAACUACUGGAAACGGUAGCUAAUACCGCAUACCAUCGGAUGUGCCCAUAUGGGAUUAGCUAGUGGGGGGGGUAACGGCUAACCUAGGCGACGAUCCCUAGCUGGUCUGAGAGUAGGACAAGCCACACUGGAACUGAGACACGUUCCAGACUCCUACGGGAGGCAGCAGUGGGGAAUAUUGCACAAUGGGCGCAAGCCUGAUGCAGCCAUGCCGCGUGUAUGAAGAAGGCCUUCGGGUUGUAAAGUACUUUCAGCGGGGAGGCGUUACCCGCAGAAGAAGCACCGGCUAACUCCGUGCCAGCCGCUGCGGUAAUUC
rnacentral:rRNA from 1 species